rnacentral:rRNA from 1 species
AGUGAACGCUGGCGGUAGGCCUAACACAUGCAAGUCGAACGGCAGCACAGUAAGAGCUUGCUCUUACGGGUGGCGAGUGGCGGACGGGUGAGGAAUACAUCGGAAUCUACUUUUUCGUGGGGGAUAACGUAGGGAAACUUACGCUAAUACCGCAUACGACCUACGGGUGAAAGCAGGGGAUCUUCGGACCUUGCGCGAUUGAAUGAGCCGAUGUCGGAUUAGCUAGUUGGCGGGGUAAAGGCCCACCAAGGCGACGAUCCGUAGCUAGUCUGAGAGGAUGAUCAGCCACACUGGAACUGAGACACGGUCCAGACUCCUACGGGGGGCAGCAGUGGGGAAUAUUGGACAAUGGGCGCAAGCCUGAUCCAGCCAUACCGCGUGGGUGAAGAAGGCCUUCGGGUUGUAAAGCCCUUUUGUUGGGAAAGAAAAGCAGCAGGUUAAUACCCCGCUGUUCUGACGGUACCCAAAGAAUAAGCACCGGCUAACUUCGUG